CAUGAAGGAGUGUAAGGGGCUACUGGGAAGUGCAAUGGAUGCAUGGAGGAGUGGAAGGGGCUGCUAUUAGGAAGUGUAAUAGUUUCCUAGGGUCUCUACAAAGAGACUUUAAUUCCUACCGGGAAGUGGAAAGAGAUUAUAAUCUUCCUGAAAAUAUACUAGACUUACAUAAGACAAUCAAACUAGAAAUACUACUAAGCAUAACGAUGGAUAAGAUCCUGACAAAGAAACCUGUUGAACAACCGCUGCAUGGCUCACCUGUGAGUCAUAAUAUCUUGUACUAAGAUCUGAAGCGUGAUUGCAUUAAGUUGAAGUGUGGGGUUACAGAGUUGAUUGAGAGGGUGGUUCGUGAUAGUAGCAUUUAUUACCUUAAGAAUGUCAUGUUGGAAGAGCAUCCCCUUACUUCGCUCAAUACUAUGCUUGACGAUAUGCCCACACCAUCCGUCUAGAAUGGAGCUAAGAGCAAUUCUAUCAUUGUUAUCAGUAGUGAUACCGAGUUUGCCUCCAAGACCUCAAAGUGUCUUUCAGUGAACCAGAAUAUUGAGUAGUCCAUGGAUUAUGAAGAUCUAUUACAUUUCCU
rnacentral:lncRNA from 1 species